rnacentral:lncRNA from 1 species
UGGCAGUAAGGAAGCAUACUGAAACCUACUUUUGGAGAAUAAAAUCUGACUAGAGUUUUCCUUCUUUUAAAAAAAAAUGUUGCUGUGACAUUUGUUAGAAAUAUUACUAGUAAAUGGAUCAUGUGUUCCAUCGCUCGGGAGAUGCAAUUAGAUUUUCUGCAGAUGUCUUCAGUAGGGAGGGGACCCUCACUAUGAAACUGGUCAAUGUGCUCCAGAUUGACACACUGUUUUCAGAUAUCGCUGAAACUUUCAACAAGCAGCACGGGGAUCACUGGGCCAUGAAGGAAGCCAUCCAAAGGCUGAAAGAAGUCUCUGGCUGUGCUCCGACUAAUAGUCUUGCAGCCUGC